rnacentral:rRNA from 1 species
AGUAAAAAGUCGUAACAAGGUUUCCGUAGGUGAACCUGCGGAAGGAUCAUUGUUGAGAGAGCAUAGAAUGAUGGAUGGUUGUGAAUGUGUGAAUGUGCCCCUUUCCUUUCCCCAUGUUGGUGGGCGAUUGACCGUAGCUCAGUGCGAUCGGCACUAAGGAACAAUGAACUCGGAAGCAGAUGGCCCCUUGGCGUGCGCGGGGGAGCCUAAUGCGUCGGAGAUUUUUCGAAAUCAAAUGACUCUCGGCAAUGGAUAUCUCGGCUCUUGCAUCGAUGAAGAACGUAGUGAAAUGCGAUACUUGGUGUGAAUUGCAGAAUCUCGUGAACCAUUGAGUCUUUGAACGCAAGUUGUGCCCGAGGCCUUGUGGCCGAGGGCACGCCUGCUUGGGCGUCAUGACAUCGUCGCUUUUGCUCCAUGCGUUAUUGGCAUCGAGCGCGGAUAUUGGCCUCGUGUGUCCUCGGGCACAGUCGGUUGAAGAGUGGGUAGUCCGCAGUCGUCGGGCACGAUGGGUGUUGGUCGCCGUGAGCGAGAACAGAACGUCGUCCCCGUCGUUUUGGGAAUGUCCUCAAGAGACCCUGUGUGAUUGUGAUGCCGUGUGAAAGUGCCGUGUCCAUCAAAUUGUGGCCCCAAGUCAGGCGAGAUCACCCGCCGAAUUUAAGCAUAUCAAUAAGCGGAG